rnacentral:rRNA from 1 species
UGGGGAAUAUUGCACAAUGGGCGCAAGCCUGAUGCAGCGACGCCGCGUGGGGGAUGACGGCCUUCGGGUUGUAAACCUCUUUCACCAUCGACGAAGGCCCGGCUUUUGUCGGGUUGACGGUAGGUGGAGAAGAAGCACCGGCCAACUACGUGCCAGCAGCCGCGGUAAUACGUAGGGUGCGAGCGUUGUCCGGAAUUACUGGGCGUAAAGAGCUCGUAGGUGGUUUGUCGCGUUGUUCGUGAAAUUCCCUGGCUUAACUGGGGGCGUGCGGGCGAUACGGGCAGACUGGAGUACUGCAGGGGAGACUGGAAUUCCUGGUGUAGCGGUGGAAUGCGCAGAUAUCAGGAGGAACACCGGUGGCGAAGGCGGGUCUCUGGGCAGUAACUGACGCUGAGGAGCGAAAGCGUGGGGAGCGAACAGGAUUAGAUACCCCCGUAGUCC